rnacentral:tRNA from 1 species
AACAGGAUGGCCAAGUGGUUAAGGUGUUGGCAAUAAGAUCCAAUGGAUGUGUGCCCAUGUGGGUUCAAACCCCACUCCUGGUA